CUUUUUGUUAAUUUUCUGUUUUCGUUAGACUCCUGUUGGCUGAUGUACGGUGGUUUAGACCUGUUAUUCUUGAGGUGGAUAAUAUUCUCCAUUGGCUAAGUG